UCGUUGUUUUCUUCAGGUAGU
ensembl:piRNA 21ur-1590 ncRNA